rnacentral:tRNA from 1 species
UUUAAUUUAGUUUAAAUUUAAAACACUUUUUUUUCAAGAAAGAGAUCUAAACAAUUAGAAUUAAAA